GGCUGUGCAGUUAACUGAGAUGUUUCAUCCCUCCAUGGCAUCGAUUUUGACCAGCCGCUUUCAAAUUUGGAUCUUCUGAGCUCCCCAAAUGGAUGCAGUGCAAUACUAAAUCUUAGAAACGAUAGGGAGUACAAGUCAAGAUGAAUCAGCACGCUAUUAUUUACUUUUCUCAACACAAUGUCAGCACAAUUACUGCUCAUGUGGAGUAGAAAAUGAACCAAGUGGGAAUUAGAAAUGACAUCUGUCUUCCUUUUACUUCUGUUGUCUGCUGAAAAAAAACAGUUAGGUAUGAGAUACAGACAGAGAGCCAGAGAGAGAGAGAGGGUUCACCUGUUUUAAUUUUAGAAAGAGAGCAACUCUUGGAUGAGGAGCUGUGAUGUCAUCUCAAGUCCCAUACGUAUGCUGAGCUGUACCGAGCCCAGUCUGAGGCAGACCGAGAGGGAAACACACCGGGGCUGCUGACAGGACACGAUGCACGUACCGAGCAUUCAUGCAGGCAGGAGAACCGGCUUUAUGCAGGCAUUUAUUAGAUCUUCAGCGACAUCUGUGCUCCAUCAGGCUGGAGAGAAGAAAACCCAACAUGGCAUUGGAAGUGAUUCAUGUAUCAGAGCUGCAGUAUGAACAGACCCUGUGGUCAUUAUAAAGCCACACUGAAGUGCUGCAGUACAUUCAGAGGAGGUUGUUUGUUCUGAAAGAAACUCACCGGACUGAUUGUAGCUCCCUAAUUCAACCCCUCUCUUUCUGAACUUUCCUUCAGUGAUUUUUUUUUUUGUUGCAAAAAGCGACUUCUGUAAAUAUUUACAUGCCGUCUCUGGCAGCUGUGAGAGACGGAGAACACCUUGAGGCCGACCGGCUCUGACUCUGCCUCUGCUGGUUUCCCUCGUCAAGCCCUGCAGGCUGUCCUGGAAGUGAAAGUUCAAUGAGGAGCUGCUCCUCUCGUUUUGUGAAACUUUGUGGUUCUCGUUUUCCUCCUCUGCUUGUAUCUUCCCUUUUCUCUUUUUUGUCUUUUGUGGAAGAACUAUUACACAUAUUACAGAGAGAAAACACACUCAUUUGCAUUUACCCAGGAAGUGCUGUGGGCAAACUGUGAAACUCAGACUUCCCUUUGAAAACUAGCAAAUAGGAUAAAUGUUAAAAUACUUUGAACGCUUCUGCAAGUAUUUUCAAUUACUCACUCUUUAUUUAAAUUAUUGAAAUCUGGAUUUGUUAUUUAUUUAUUUAUUCUCAAUAAACAAACUGAAAAAAAUUAAAUACAAACUCUCAAGAUAGAAUAAAUGUAAUAAAUCUGAAAAAAUCUAAACAAAAUGAAUAAAUACAAGAAUAUAAACUAAUAAAAAUCAAGUUGAUGAAAAUGAAUCUCUGAAGAGUCAAUAUAUGUCACUAAAUUGCAGUUUUGCUUCUCAAUUUCUUAGCUGCAAGUGCAUAUUUUUUUUUAAAAUAACAAUUUUAUAACUAUUAAUGUAGUAAAUUGAAAAUAUCCCAAAAAAAAUCUACAUCAUAUCACAGGUACACUGCAUCUCAUUAUAUAUUUCUGAAUAAGUGGGUGCAUUAGUGAUAAUGUAUCUUACUCACAUCUUCACCUGUAAAUUCUGCAGGUGAGUGAGUGAGCAUGAGUGCAUCUACUGAGCCCUGUGUGUAGAGCUUCUGUGUAACCUGCCUGCUGACCUGUUUGAACACACCAUGGGCUGCGCCAUGUGUUCACAGCUGGUUGACAUGUGGACUGUGAGGGUGAGCCGGACGGGCCGUAGGGCCAUGGAGCUCACCGCCUACCCACAGAUGCUGCAGGGCGGCUACCACAGAGUGACGGGCCUCCACUACAUGUCCUCCUUCUCCGACGCCGAGGACUGCUGUGACGACACCAGCUCAGGCAGCUCGCUCACACUGGACUGGCAGACACAAGCGACUGAUGGCUGACGCUAAACCAAGAGCUGUUAUAAUGCAAACAUGUAAAUAAACAUGAUGUAAUACACAGGAAUUUACAAUAAAUGUGGUGAUGCUUCUUGUUUUUAUUUA